rnacentral:rRNA from 1 species
CGCGCAGGCGGUCGUUCAAGUCGAGUGUGAAAGCCCCCGGCUCAACUGGGGAGGGUCACUCGAUACUGAUCGACUUGAAGGCGGGAGAGGGAAGCGGAAUUCCCGGUGUAGUGGUGAAAUGCGUAGAUAUCGGGAGGAACACCAGUGGCGAAGGCGGCUUUCUGGCCCGUUCUUGACGCUGAGGCGCGAAAGCUAGGGUAGGCAAACG